ACCAAUUCCUUACAUAAAGAAUAAUUAAUUGAAAUUAUUUGGUCAAUCGGACCACGAAAUAUAACGGACAAGACAGAUUAUUUACCCUUUGACCAAACGAGCAAACACUAAAUAUUCUCUUCUCCCCCCCCCCAAAAAAAAAGUGUAAAACUAUCAUCUUAUAAUUUUUGUACAAGGCCAGUGUUGGAAGUUAACUGAAAGGGUACAUAUAUAUAAAAAAAAACCUUGUAUCAACCAAGUUUGGGCAUCCUGUUUAUAUCUUUUUUAAAUUGACUUAACAAAUAAAAUCAUUAAAAAUAAUAGUUUUAUAUUUUCUUCUUUUUUGAGGUGGGUUGAGUAAGGAAUUUAAAACUUCUUUCCUCCACUGCGACCUAUAAAUUAUAACCACAUCUUGGAAAGUGCACUUUUUCAUAUAAGACUAAGCACUAUCAUCGGUGCCUCUUAGUGCACCUCUUUUGGUGUGAUAAUUGCUUUGCUGAAGAGGACCGUAACCCGGCUAAUGCUUCACAUUCAUAAAAGACGUGCUGAUUCUAGUUCCUCCUGGUAGAGUCGGCACGUUCUGUCUCCACUUUGCCCAUCUUCUUUAAGUGGUAAUUAAGAGGGCAGUGGCCGGUAUAGAGAGGCAGAGGUAAUUAUGCUCAAAUCCUGCCUUCUGAAAGAGAGGAGUUCCUUCGCCUUUCUUUUUUGAAAGAUUUAUAACUUAACUUGCCUCAUACCUGGUGCUUUUGCCCAGUGCUUGAAUUGUUCUUUCUCAAGCCAUUGUUCCAGUUACAAGUUGAGCAGGUUCCAUGUUGUGGUUUUCGUUCCAUGAGAUAGAAAGAUGUCCCGUAUUUUUGGCUAGUUGGCUAUUCAUUUCCUUUUAUAUCUUCAUGUCCGGGAAGAUAAUGUUUUCCUAGAGUCAUUAGGCAAUUUAGGCGCACCCAGACGAAUUUGGAAUUGAAAGCAUACGCACUGAGUGUCUUUAUAACUGCCCGUAAAUCUGUGCAUCUUUCAUAUUUUUCUUUUUAACUCCUUUGCACAGAGUUGCUUUGUAUGAACCAGAGCUUAGAAAAUUGUUGGGAUUAGUCCAACGGGUUUUGCUAGGAUAGAGAUCGGCCAUUUUAUCCCUACAUCAUCUUCGAUCUAUGUGUGUACCAUAUUAGGGCCCCUUCUUGAAACUUAGUUGGGCUACCUUUCUUUCAAACCUUUCUAUCAAAGUUAAGGUUUUUCUCUAAUUUUGUCAAGAACCGUUAUAGCCAUCUCGUUUAUUUUAACUCAACCAGAUUCCUUUUAAAUCAGGAGUCUAUUGGCACUCUUAAAAGCAACCUCUACAUAUGUAAGGGUGGACGGUCGAGGGCGGUUUCCAUCGCUGUUGUCGGGCAUGUAUGCAUGGUCCCUGUUAUAUUAAGAUACGCUAGACUUUGUAGAGCGUGUUCUUGUCUUCUUGUUCAGUUUUGUAGCCACUAUACUAGAGCUCACUGUUGUGACCAGGGGUCUUUACGUUGUGGCGUAUAAUCAAUACGCCAUCGUGGGAUUUAUUACUCAGUUUUUGCUGCAUAAUCUCUGGCCAAAGCUUAGGAGAGCCUUGGCAGAAUGUUGCCAAUGUAUUUUUCCGUCGUUUGGUCAAGUUGGUUAUAGAUUGGUUAUGUUUCUUUGAAGAAAAUUAUAGUUUCCUAUUUGAGAGUGCUUUUAUGAUAAGUACUAAUUGCUAAAUGUUAAUUGUAUUUAUUGGAACGGGCUUGGAAAAUCGUUGGAAUUAUACCAACGGGCUUUGCUAGGGUAUAGUUCGGCCCUUUUACUUUUACUCAUCUUCGAUCCAUCUUUGUACCCUUCCUGAAACUCGUGGCCACCUUUCUUCCGAAGGACUUUAUUAUCUAUGACCACUUGGAAUAGUUUUAGAUUUAUUAUUAUGUAAUAAGUUUAUUUUGACGAUAGGUUUGAAGGAUUCUCGAACUCUUGUAAACCAAAGCUGAAUUAAUUCAGAAAUAAUUUCUCUUUGUGUAAAAUAUGUAGUAAUAAUGAAAGUUAAUAUAAUAAUAAUAAUAAUUUAAAAAAUAUAUAACACAUUCUUCAAUGAAGACAUAGCUAAAAACUCAGAUGUCAUCCGUGUAGAUUUUAAAAUUUGUUUAAAAUCGGAACGUUUUAUUCAUUUAUUUUUAAUAAAGUUGACAGAAGGGAACCGCUGUGCUAUUGUCGUACAUUAAAACCUACGACGGAUUCCCCGAGCCUAAAUAUAGAAGUUGAUCUCCGCCUCGUAGGAAGUCGAUCUGACGAGAUGCCUGGUCCCGAGACUUUCUCUUGCAUAUUUUCGACUCGUAAAGGCAUACAAAAGAGAAUAUCACUUUGCAGACGACACAUCUGUUAGAAUUUUGACAACGUUUGCAUAAUUUCACUAAUUGCCUUUCGUGACGUUCGCGAUGAAUUUAAAACCGCUUUUGUACACAGUUCAAUUUCUGUGAUUUACAAUUUACGAAAAACGUUUUCCAGUACUCAAGUGGAAAAGGGGACACCGGACUAUUACUAUUGUAAUACAAUUAUUCAUGCCAAUUCUGUCAGUUCUGACAAAUGAGAAAUAGCAGGCUAGAUAACUGACACGAUAAUCUCCUUCCCCACUCAAGUGAUAGGCUAAAAGAGAAAAAAAUGCAUAACAAAAAAUGCACUCUUCAAACCAGAGACGAAGCAGGAAAAUUCCAAGUGAAUUAAUCGCUUUAAAAAUACGUACAUGAGACUUGUUAGUGUUAUUCAAGUGCAAACAGCCGAGAGGGUACCCAUAUAAAAAUACCUGUUAUGUAAUAUUCAAAGCUAAAGCUAUUUUCCUACCUUAUCUCUGGAUAAGGUAAAGGUAUAAUUGCUUUCAUUAUGCUGUCCAUCUUGACAAAAAACAAAGUUCAAAUUUAAUUAAAUCCUGUUAUCGCGAAACUCAAAAGGAAAUUUAUGAAUUUAUACUUUUUUAUAUUUUGUUUGAACGUUGAAUUAGCCGUAAAGUUUGAUAUGCAGUAUUGUUGUUGUAAAUGUUUCAACCUUCUAUACAAUUAGAACGUUUAACUGUUUCGGUCCACCCUUUCUGCGCGUUAAUUUGGAUUUGCGUCUUUUUUUUUGUUGUUUUGAUAUGGAGGAACGACGCACCACCACGAGGUGAUGUCAAUUUGGACAUCCUCGGUCGGAAAUGAAGGCCGAAUUAGAAAACGAUCAACGUAUCACCGUCUGUCGUCGUUUCUUCUGAAACUUACGGCGAGGCCAGGCGGACCACUUUAGUGAGAAGACAUCUCUAACCCAUCACGAACGCCCUGAAGUAUCUUCACGAAAUACACCCAAAAAAUUGGCAAUUUGGAAAUAAAGUUAAUUUUUUUUUAUUUGUUAACGUUGACUUCUAAUUUGUAGGAAAUUAAAUUAUACGCUGGGAAAAAUUCAAACCAAGGCGUACAAAAAGGUAAUAACUUUUUAUUCAGUUAAAAAUGUUUGAAUAAUUAAUUUCUUCAAAACGGGGAUAUACGCAUUUGUCAAUUGGGAAACUGUUUGCCUUUAACAAUACAAACAAUUAAGACUAUUAUUCAAGAAGUAGUUUAUCUAUUUUGUGACAUUUGUAUUUCUCCAUUUUUAUUAAGCAAUAAGUGGAUGUUUUUAAGAUGUCGCGCUUUUAAAAUAUGCAAUAAAACGGCUUUGCCAAA